rnacentral:lncRNA from 1 species
GGGAGCCCAUGAUGUGGGAUUCCUGGUGGAUAGGAGAGAGGACCGAGAACCGCAGGGAACAACUCGGGACGGAUAAACAACGUUUUAAAUUUAUGGUGCCUUCAGAAUAUACUACUGUUGUUGAUUUUAUUGUUGUUUUUUUCACUCCGCUUUUAGGAUAGUCUACUGGGAAACUUCCCUCUGUUUUCCCAGCAGAGCAGCAGGGAGGUUGGAGAGUGAGCAGCGCCACCCUGAGGCCAGGGAGGCAAUGGCGUCAGGAACGGAAGCCUGCCGCUUAGGUCGAGCAGCUGCGCGAUCACAUGGCCCCGGCUACAUUUAGAGGUCUAUUUUUUAGUCUUCAUGCAAAAAAUAUAUUUUCGUUACAGAUGCUUCUAAACAAAAUGUCAGCUGCUAGCUAACGGCGAUGACCAAUCCCCAGAGCCCCUUCAGAGUCCGGCCCCCAACUUCCCAGCAGCCCCAAGGGUUGGCCUCAAAGUUGCUGUGUGGAUGAAGAUGAACUUGGACUCCUGAUCCUCUUUCCUCUACUUCCCAAGUGCUGA